UCAUGGCCUGAAGGACCUACGUCCCUUCCUAUCUUGUACCGCUGCUUCUCUUCCUCAUGACCCUUCAACCUUCCCGGCCACCUUCUGUCCCCCAGUCCCAGCUUCCCAUGCCUACAGGGGCUGCCUGGAGUCCCCUCGUCUGCCUUUAGGACAUGCCAGGUCCUUCUCAGCCUUUCCAAGUCAGCUUUGUAUGCUCUACGCACACCCCUCCCCCCAAGAGAAUCCCAAGAGGUUCUGAGAGAGUGCAGAACCCAUACGGAUUGCCGAUGUCCUAACAUCUUUGUGAUGGCGAGAGAUUGCAUCCAUGCGGGAAGCAAAUGGGCGAAAAGCUGGAUGUAGAGUUCAGAUGAAUGAGAAAAAGGUGCCAAAUUAAAGAUACCCAGUCAAAGAAGGAAGAUGAACUUCGGAUUUCACUUGGCCUCACAGUGUUUGAGCAUCUCACCACCUGCCUCAUUGAAGCUGGGCAGAGAUGAUCUUCUGGAAGUUUCUCUGUCUCUCAGACACUCAACCUGAAUAUAACCAACAUCUUUAAAAGUUACCGAGUGAAGUUGGUUUGAAACCAUACUUCCCCGACCAUUUUCCAUAUGGGCCAUCACCAGGAUUGCUUUUUCUGUCACACCCAAUGUGCCCGCAUCUCUGUGUGCCCCUGAGAGCUUAAUUCCAAACGGGAACGUCCUGUGUGUGUUCUGCAUGAACCGAGUUAGGCAGUGAUGGCGACCUGCUCCAGGAAGUGAUUCAAAGUGAGAUCAGGAGGAACCUGAGGGCCACUGUCGCUGGCGCAGAAGGCUGGCUCCCGGUUGCCUGGACACUUUUGUGCUUGGUGAUUUAAUUCGGCCCAGAUGCUGGGAGUUCUCUUUCUCCUUCUCCUCUGGGGCAGUGGGUGUUGUUGCCGGGGACCCAGGGGGGUCAGGGCGAGCGAAUGAAACAGAAGAAAAGUUGG